rnacentral:lncRNA from 14 species
CCCUGAGGUUUGAAUUGUCGGGGUGUUCCCGCAGCUCUGGUGGGGCUGUGGCCCUUCCCUGACGCCCUCGCAUCCAGGGAACCCUCUGGAAUUGCGAACAUUCUGGGUAACCGGGAGGAAAAAGGUAACCAUGCGCAGAAAGGACGUUGCCGGCCAGGACAAGGUAGUGCUGCCCUGCAGGGUACGGGAGGAGGAAGGAAGUCUUUACAGUGCAAGGAGCUGACUUGACAUAACAUCCAGGCAGGGAGAAUGCCAGAGGAGAGGAAGAGAUAAACGCUAAGAGCCUUGUCUGAAACCAAAGCAACAGCGUUGUAAAGACUUCCCAUUUUCUCCACAGAAAAACCUGCUCUCCCCUCGCAGCUCAGGCUCCAAGAGGUACAGCAACUGGCCCUCAUUCUAUGACAGUGGUGUAGAUGGCUUGAAUUCACACCACCUUCGACAGCUGCCCGGGAAUCACUCAGGAGUCCCUCGCAGGGGACAACAGGAAGAGCUGUGCUAAAAAUCUAUCAGUAAAGUACUGGUUUAUGCUGAGCUUUGUAGACUUAAGCCUUAGUACAAGCCUGAGCCAAACUCCUCCAGGCCUGCACAGUCUGCAAGGACAGAAAGUACCUUCAUCUUCGGACGAACAUGUGGCAAAUCACGUGUGUCACUAACAACAAACGUUGCAGCACCCAUGCUGUCAGGGAACUGUUGUCUUUUGUCAUCCUUCAGCUCAUCACACCUGGCCCCUCAUGACCUGGGUGAACUACUGCUCUCAUCAUCCAGUGAGAAACUCUGCUCUUUCCAAAGCAAACACUGACCCGGGCUCAGCUCUUUGGACUGUGCCCCAAGCAGAUUACAAAACACCAGCAGUGUAUCUUCUGUCUGGACACGUGUUGCUUUCUGAGUUGCCUGGUGCAACUCCCUCCCCUGCUGCCUCCAGCUGUCUCAAAUCCUGCAGCCUUCCUCGUCCCUGCGAGUUGACAGCAAGGUGUGACCAUCCUCUAGGGACAGACCUGAGGUGAAACAGAAAUUCUCCACUCGAGUAGAUCUUUUCCAGG